UACGAGGGGUCCAAGCGUUGCUCGGAAUCAUUGGGCGUAAAGCGGGUGUAGGUGGCUUUGUAAGUCAGGAGUGAAAGCCCUGGGCUCAACCCAGGAAGUGCUUUUGAUACUGCAAAGCUUGAGUGUGGGAGAGGAUCGUGGAAUUCCAGGUGUAGUGGUGAAAUACGUAGAUAUCUGGAGGAACACCGGUGGCGAAGGCGGCGAUCUGGCCCAACACUGACACUCAGACCCGAAAGUGCGGGGAGCAAACAGG
rnacentral:rRNA from 1 species